rnacentral:tRNA from 1 species
GCAAUAGCUCAAUAGUAGAGCUCCAGCUUCGACUGCGGGAAGACCUGGGUUCAAUUCCCGGUUGC